UAAAGCAUAGAUAAGAGAAACCCUAAUUUUAACUUUAUAAUAAGGCUCAAAAGAUGAGCUGGUUGGAACUUAACUCCAGGAAUUAUCUGGAGACCAAAACUGCUAGAUCUUUUUAGCCCCUGCCUGACCAGACUGUGUAGAAGCUGAAGCCCCAGACAACAUGACCCUGACCAGCUAUCAGAAAACCUCCGUCUGUUUCAUUGGGAGUGGUGAGCAUUAGACGCUUGGUGUAACAUAUUACAAUUCCAUGUGAGAAUCUGGUCAUCCACCAUCCAUACACGGAGUUCUUAACAAACGCUGAAUAGAGCAAAUACUUCUAACAAAUAUCCAUCUACGAUUUGAAGUGGGCAACUGGGAUGAUCCAGUUCAAGAUGGAGGUGCAUUGGAAGAACUGAAUAUGGGAUGCUUGCAAGACUCCAAACGUCUGCAUGUUCCCUUGACCCUACGCCAAGGAGUGACAAAUAGUACAUGUCCCCAUCAGAAACCACGCAGAAGGUAGAGAGAGCACCACAAAUACCAGCCUCAGCGUGCAGCACGUUAGCUCAAGUUUUUGAAGCUCAAGACUGAUGGGUUGGAGUCGUCUGUUUCAAUCUGCUCCUUCCGAUUAAAAAGCUGUUAAAAGCUUCAGCCUGUCUCAGUACAUCUGCUGCUUCGUGACCAAUGAAUUGCUUGUCCGGGAUUCGAAGCUGCAGGUAGGAGGGUGAUAGAUUUGAUGGGGGUUAGUGUUAGGAGAUUUUUGUAAAGAGCUUGCCACAGCAAAUGAUCAGUCGGGUGUAGUGAUUGCUCAGCUGGCAUGGUUUCAGUGGGAGAAGAGGAGCUUUAGGAUAUGUCUACACUGUACACUAAGCCCAGGUCUGUGGGACCCCAGCUUCUGGACUAGGUGUUUCUAAGCAUCCACACUGCACUAUAAACCUAAGGCUAGGUCUACACUACCUGCCUGAAUCGGCGGGUAGAA